rnacentral:rRNA from 1 species
UACGAAGGGGGCUAGCGUUGCUCGGAAUCACUGGGCGUAAAGGGUGCGUAGGCGGGUCUUUAAGUCAGGGGUGAAAUCCUGGAGCUCAACUCCAGAACUGCCUUUGAUACUGAGGAUCUUGAGUUCGGGAGAGGUGAGUGGAACUGCGAGUGUAGAGGUGAAAUUCGUAGAUAUUCGCAAGAACACCAGUGGCGAAGGUGGCUCACUGGCCCGGUACUGACGCUGAGGUGCGAAAGCGUGGGGAGCAAACAGG